rnacentral:tRNA from 1 species
AGGGAAGUGGCUCAACGGUAGAGCAGCGGUCUCCAAAACCGCCGGUUGCACGUUCGAAUCGUGUCUUCCCUGCCA